rnacentral:tRNA from 1 species
GCUUUUAUAGGAUAAUAGUUUUCCCCUGGUCUUAGGCUCCAGAACCCCUUGGUGCAAAUCCAAGUAAAAGCU